CGGGUCUGACGUGUCGUUCAGCGCGGCGGAUAGGAUUUUUAUUGAUUCGUUGCGUCCGUCUGCCCCUGCAGGAACCUCACUGCCAGAAGCGUUAGACGUUGAGCCGCUACAGACCAUCCCCUGGGAAGUAGUUAUGGGUCGUGGUUCGCGUCCGGAGAGUUCUAAGGCGGGUGAGGCCGCUGUUGGCAAAGCUAGGCGCGACGAGCGUUUGGCGAGCAAUAGUGCUGCUAGCGGCUCCGCUGGGGAAGAAGAAGUAGCGGGGCAGAAUGCGGAAUCGGCGUGGUUCCUCUCAGAUGGCACCGCCGUCGACGAGGCAGGUGGGCGGAUGACAGCCGCUGCGGUUAAUCGACUGAAACAGACGUUCCGGUUGCCGGGGUCGGUGAAGCUGCGUCCGCCGACAGCAGAUGAGAAGGCGUCGAUUCUCCCGGCGGGAUCUGCAGCCGUUCAUGAGGAGAUAUUCCGCCAAGGAGUGACACUCCCGCUGGUGCCCAACCUCCAGAUCCUGGUGUGUGAAUUUGGCCUUGCGUUGGGUCAGAUUUGCCCCAAUAUGUGGCGGUUGUUGCUCGCCGUGAACUCCCUUUGGCGGUUAUCCGGGUGCGAGGGGCCUACCGUGGCGGAAGUGCUUCACUUCUACGAGUUGGUGUACGUGAAGCGCCGAGGCUGGCAAGGGCAAGUGAACUUGAGUCGCCGGCAAGGAGCGCCCAAGCUGAUCGAGAAUCUAAGGGACUCAAUGUCCUACUGGCGGGGGACCUUCUGCGUGGCUACCGACGGUUGGGAGUACCACGCCAGAUCGAAUGCGGAAGGGCCGACAUUUAGGAUUAAGUCUGAGUUCCAACCUAUUCGAGGUUGGUGUCCGGUUUCCGCUGAAAGUAUUUGGCGUGCCCAUGUGCUUGCACUUGUACUCCUACUAACGUCGUGUUUUUUUUUUUUUUUUUUUUUUUUUUGUGCAGCGGGACUUCGGUACACGCUAACGCGCGAAGAAGAGUGCCGCGUGGCGAGGAUCAGGGGUUGCUGGCGGAACCGAAACUUGCUUGAUUUCCGCCUGCUGACUGGUUGGGAGUUGCUGGUCGACCUGCGACUAACACGCUCCGUUGGUGAGGAGUCUACCCUGUCGUUUCGUACUAUACUUUUGAAUUGUGUCUUGACUGGUGGCUGUCGUUUUUCUUUUUAGAAACUCCGCCGGGCAACAAAUCGAGUCGCGACGCAUUUGAGAAGGCGAUGGAUCGGGCGGAGAUAGAGAAUUUUUUGGAGGCCAUGUACGCCGAGGGGCUAACGGCCCAGCAGACUGUAGUGAACCCCGAGACGUUGGCGCUGAGCCAGUCCGAGGUUCCGGUGGUGAUGCCGAUGCCGCACCAGUCUCAUCUUGGUGAGGAUGGUCUCCCUAUAGUGCAGGCGGGGACCCAGACGGCCGGCGGGGAUCAGAGGGGAAGCGCUGCGGCCGGGCCACAAAAGGAGCGGAUGCCUGCCCAGAGGCGUGGCCCUCAAAAGGUGGUUCAACCGACUGAAGAAGUCAUUGUGACCAGGGAGGAGCCGCCAGUAAGGGCGACGGGGGCCGCCGCUGGGAGCCAGAGGGCGCUGGAGAGAAAGCGCCGGACGGCUGAGUCUUCUGACGAGGAAGAGGGAGAUGAUCUGGAGGUGGUCGGGGCCCGCCGACAGAAGAAGGCCCGACAAGCUCCUUCGAAAACUGCGGCGGUGGAGGGAGAGGCGCCCGCCGUCAGUGAUCUGGACUCCUUCGCCGAGUAUGCGCCAUUUAUGACAGAAGGGGAGCGGGAGUUCCUCUUCCAUCUGUGUGAGCGGCUGGGGUUCGGCGGUCUGGCGGGCAUAUGGCGCCCGACGGCAAUUGACCAAUCGCCCUUUAGCUCGGCGUUUGGUCAAAUAUCGGCGGGAUUACACGAUAUGUUCGUGGCGGCGUCGAAGCAGCCCCGGAUUGAGGAAGAGCUCAAGGGAGAAAUUGGAGGUCUCCAGAGGGAGUUGGCGGAGGCAAAGGAGAGACUGGCGGAGGUCGAGCGGGGGCUGGCCAAGGCGGAGUGUGAUUAUACGGACGCCCGCGGCAAGCUUAAUGCGGCCAUCCGGCGGGACCUGGAGAGGAAUGAACAUGUCUCCAAAUUGGAGCAGGAGAUCGCGCUGCUGCAGGAGCGGAUAGCCGCUAAAGAUAAGAAGCUCAUUGUAGUGCAGCGGGAGUCCGCCGACAGGAUGGCCGAAAUGAAGCGGCUGGGGGGUGAGGUUACCCGCCUGAGAGCUGAGGGGAGUACCGCUGCGGCCGCUGCUGUUGAAGCGUUCAAGCAGUCGGCGGAGUUUAAGAAGACAUUGACCGAAGCGGCGAAGUCUGGGGCCCGAGCCAAUAUAGAUAUGUUGAAGCGGAAGGGCGCCAUUGACUUUGUAAAGGCGUCACAGCCUGACGUGCCGCCGGCCGAGAGUGUCCCGGCGGAGACAGAAGUCGUGCCUGCCCUAGCUGUAGGUACUUACUCGGGCAGCGGGGAAAGUGACCCUCAUCCGACGGAAGGGUCCCAGCAGACUCCCCAGCAGACCCCGUCGGAGGUGUCACGUGCCGGAUUUCUGGAGGCACACACCCGGACGGACGGCACCAUGGAGACCCCCAGUCCGACAGCUCGAGGGUCCGAUCAAGCGAGCCGAUCGGUCGCUCCGCCGCC
rnacentral:lncRNA from 1 species